CCUACGGGGGGCUGCAGUGGGGAAUAUUGCACAAUGGGGGAAACCCUGAUGCAGCGACGCCGCGUGAGUGAAGAAGCGUUUCGGCGCGUAAAGCUCUAUCAGCAGGGAAGAAAGAAAUGACGGUACCUGACUACGAAGCCCCGGCUAACUACGUGCCAGCAGCCGCGGUAAUACGUAGGGGGCAAGCGUUAUCCGGAUUUACUGGGUGUAAAGGGAGCGUAGACGGCGAUGCAAGUCUGAAGUGAAAGGCGGGGGCCCAACCCCCGGACUGCUUUGGAAACUGUAUGGCUGGAGUGCAGGAGAGGUAAGUGGAAGUCCUAGUGUAGCGGUGAAAUGCGUAGAUAUUAGGAGGAACACCAGUGGCGAAGGCGGCUUACUGGACUGUAACUGACGUUGAGGCUCGAAAGCGUGGGGAGCAAACAGGAUUAGAUACCCCAGUAGUC
rnacentral:rRNA from 1 species